rnacentral:rRNA from 1 species
AGAGUUUGAUCCUGGCUCAGGAUGAACGCUAGCGACAGGCUUAACACAUGCAAGUCGAGGGGCAUCAUGGUCUUAGGUAGCUAAUACCUUGAUGGCGACCGGCGCACGGGUGAGUAACGCGUAUGCAACCUGCCUGAUACCGGGGUAUAGCCCAUGGAAACGUGGAUUAACACCCCAUAGUACUUUUAUCCUGCAUGGGAUGUGAGUUAAAUGUUUAAGGUAUCGGAUGGGCAUGCGUCCUAUUAGUUAGUUGGCGGGGUAACAGCCCACCAAGACGAUGAUAGGUAGGGGUUCUGAGAGGAAGGUCCCCCACAUUGGAACUGAGACACGGUCCAAACUCCUACGGGAGGCAGCAGUGAGGAAUAUUGGUCAAUGGACGAGAGUCUGAACCAGCCAAGUCGCGUGAGGGAAGACUGCCCUAUGGGUUGUAAACCUCUUUUAUAAGGGAAGAAUAAGUUCUACGUGUAGAAUGAUGCCUGUACCUUAUGAAUAAGCAUCGGCUAACUCCGUGCCAGCAGCCGCGGUAAUACGGAGGAUGCGAGCGUUAUCCGGAUUUAUUGGGUUUAAAGGGUGCGUAGGCGGUUUAUUAAGUUAGUGGUUAAAUAUUUGAGGCUAAACCGUCAAUUUGCCAUUAAUACUGGUAAACUGGAGUACAGACGAGGUAGGCGGAAUAAGUUAAGUAGCGGUGAAAUGCAUAGAUAUAACUUAGAACUCCGAUAGCGAAGGCAGCUUACCAGACUGUAACUGACGCUGAUGCACGAGAGCGUGGGUAGCGAACAGGAUUAGAUACCCUGGUAGUCCACGCCGUAAACGAUGCUCACUGGUUCUGUGCGAUAUAUUGUACGGGAUUAAGCGAAAGUAUUAAGUGAGCCACCUGGGGAGUACGUCGGCAACGAUGAAACUCAAAGGAAUUGACGGGGGCCCGCACAAGCGGAGGAACAUGUGGUUUAAUUCGAUGAUACGCGAGGAACCUUACCUGGGUUUAAAUGGGAAAUGUCGUAUUUGGAAACAGAUAUUCUCUUCGGAGCGUUUUUCAAGGUGCUGCAUGGUUGUCGUCAGCUCGUGCCGUGAGGUGUCG